CUCAUUUUUACUAGUUUUCAGCAUGUCUUAAUCCAAAGGUUUCUUAGUUCAAACUUGAGAGCUCAAAAGUUGGAUAGUCUGAUGGUGCUCACAUUUGAAUACCUUAAAUCUUGUUCUGAGGGUGGUCGUCUGGUUCGGGUGUUUGAGACUCUCCUCCAAUCAUUUCAGAGCUUACAAAUCAAAAUUUGGUCAGUUUAUCAUGUUCUAUGCUUGCUCACUGGAUCCUGACAAUUGUGGAAAGAUGUUUGGUAAUGCUCUUAUAGAUAUCUAUGUUAGUGGCCUCAAUCCUGUAUGGAGGUAAAGAAACAUAUAAGGAUUCAGUAAAGUUUAAUUCUCUAGCUUUUCAUGCACUGUUGACUAGUAUUCUUUUAUGGAAUCUAAUUUCUCUACUUUUAUUAUGAGUUGUCUUGUCUCUAUUUUUUUAUUUUAUUCUCUUUUUCAUUCUAAUUUACUUUAUCAAAGAUCUAUAGCCUAUGGGCUAUGGACUUAUCUGUACUGCAGAAGGAGUGCUGUUGCAUAGCUUGCAAGUUAUGUGGCUCGAGCCAGAUUUAUCCCCAUCUCAUUUGUUACCGCAAUGCUGGAAAGGUCACGGUCACUAUGCAUCUCAUUUUCUUGAUAUCCGGUGCUCUCCUUGAGACCUACAAACAGAUGAGAAUGUAUUAACUUUAUUCAGGUUUGAUUUGCAUGAUUUCAGAAUGGUUAGCUGCUGUUUCCUUUAUUGCCAAAAAUCAGGACGGUAACAUUAAUCCAAAAGCUCAUAAACUAUUUUAUGCUGGUUGUCAGGUGCGUUAUAUAUAGCUUUGCUCUCAAAUAUUUUGGCCUGAGUAUAUAAAACGACAAGCAUAAGAAUAUAAUUCCUCACCUCAACCUUGUCUUGAGAAUUGAGAUACAUUGAAUCGUUUAUUAAAGCAGUUGUGAAUCAUCAAAAUGUGGCAGUUUAGAAUCUACAACUGCAAAAUCACCUAAAUAUAGCAAAAUCUUUCUCUCUCUUAUAUCUUUAAAUCUCAAAAUUUGUAUAUAUAUUUUACACCCUACCCUUCUUCCGAAAAACUUAAUCUAGUUAGGGUAAACGAAAUAACAGAACUCUUAGCGCUGUCUGGUAAUGUGACCCCACUGAAAAGAAAACUGUACUAACAUUAAAGAAUAACAAGCCCCUUUGUAUCUUCUCUGGCAUGAAAAUAAGUUGGGUUUUUUUGGAAGAAUAUAAGCAAUUGGUCUUGGGCUUCGUUACAUAUAACAGGCAACAAAUUGGGGAUCUUACUCUGAUUGUGAUUUCACUUAGAAAUUGUGAAGUUUGAUAAGAAAAAGAUGAAUAAGCAUGGUUUUUGAUUGACUAAAAGAUCAUAAAUAGUGCCAACACCACUCAGUACCAUGAAUUUGCAGUGGUAGAUUCUGUUUUGAGUUUUCAAAGUGUGGCAGUUUGUUAAUUUCUGCAGGCUAUAUAUAUUGUAUGUGCUUUGUUUUCGCUUGAGACAGUUGCUUGUUAUUCCUCGGCUGAAGUCCCAACUGCUGCUCGACGACAUCCUUAAGCAUCAUUUGAGGCCAUUGCAGGUAUGCCUAUGCCUGCCAUCAAUAGUUUGUACGGGUGGUAAAAGAAAAGCGCAUAUUUCAUGGUCUCCUAGGAGAUUUGGUGGGAUAGAAAGAUUUCUUCCCGUUUGAUCCUUGCCUAUUGAGGAAAUGUGACAGCUGCAGCUACAUCCGGCCAAAUUAUGUGUACUGGUCAAUGGUGAGAAUGAAGACGCGGAAGUGAUGAAUAUUCCAGAUGGCAGGAGGAGUCACGGUGAGGGUGAUUCUGAUGGCGAAGAGAUUGACUCUUCUUUGGAUAAAAUGUGGAUUACACAGCAAGUCACAAAUUCAGGGGCAGAAUGCAGAGAUUUGCGUAGAUGUCAACAAGUCCGGAGUCAUUUUGAGACACUUAUUGGGAUAUAGGUUUGUUUGCCAAACCAUCACCACCAAACAUAUGAUAAGGAGAGUAUAAAAUGCAGGAAAUAAAUUUUACAUGUAAGUCCUACUUGUGUAUUAGCUGAAUUAGAGAAUUGGGGAAACACACAAAAUGGUCCAUGAUUGUUUAGCAGAGUUUCACGAUUUGUAGAAUGUUACCAGCAAAAUUACUUGGUCA